AACGCUGGCGGCGUGCCUAAUACAUGCAAGUCGAGCGAACAGACGAGGAGCUUGCUCCUCUGACGUUAGCGGCGGACGGGUGAGUAACACGUGGAUAACCUACCUAUAAGACUGGGAUAACUUCGGGAAACCGGAGCUAAUACCGGAUAAUAUAUUGAACCGCAUGGUUCAAUAGUGAAAGACGGUUUUGCUGUCACUUAUAGAUGGAUCCGCGCCGCAUUAGCUAGUUGGUAAGGUAACGGCUUACCAAGGCAACGAUGCGUAGCCGACCUGAGAGGGUGAUCGGCCACACUGGAACUGAGACACGGUCCAGACUCCUACGGGAGGCAGCAGUAGGGAAUCUUCCGCAAUGGGCGAAAGCCUGACGGAGCAACGCCGCGUGAGUGAUGAAGGUCUUCGGAUCGUAAAACUCUGUUAUUAGGGAAGAACAAAUGUGUAAGUAACUAUGCACGUCUUGACGGUACCUAAUCAGAAAGCCACGGCUAACUACGUGCCAGCAGCCGCGGUAAUACGUAGGUGGCAAGCGUUAUCCGGAAUUAUUGGGCGUAAAGCGCGCGUAGGCGGUUUUUUAAGUCUGAUGUGAAAGCCCACGGCUCAACCGUGGAGGGUCAUUGGAAACUGGAAAACUUGAGUGCAGAAGAGGAAAGUGGAAUUCCAUGUGUAGCGGUGAAAUGCGCAGAGAUAUGGAGGAACACCAGUGGCGAAGGCGACUUUCUGGUCUGUAACUGACGCUGAUGUGCGAAAGCGUGGGGAUCAAACAGGAUUAGAUACCCUGGUAGUCCACGCCGUAAACGAUGAGUGCUAAGUGUUAGGGGGUUUCCGCCCCUUAGUGCUGCAGCUAACGCAUUAAGCACUCCGCCUGGGGAGUACGACCGCAAGGUUGAAACUCAAAGG
rnacentral:rRNA from 1 species